UGUUGGGUUCGGGCAGGCGGAGCGGCGGGGCCGGGCCGGGCUGAGGGGCCGCGGGGCGAGGGUCGGAGGAGGGCGGUGUAUCCAGCCUCCUGUGAAAUGCUGAAGGGCAAACCCGGAGAAGGGAUGAAAUCCCUGGGCUCUUAUCCCAGCAGGGAGGAACUGGGGAGCAGUUGGUGUGGUGCCAUCUCAGCCCAGCUCUGGGGAGUUGAGUUACCCAAAGGUUGGGAUGGAGCUGGAGAGCUGGAAAUAUCCAGAUGUGAAGAUCCAGGGUAGCUGCUGCUUUCACUCCCCCAUCUUCAGAAGGUGAGUAGAGGAGCAGCUGUGGGGUCCCAGCAGUGGGAGGAGGAGGAGGAGGAGGAUGCAGCAGCAGGUACAGAACAGGUUUGAUUGGAGCUGCAGCUCCUGCUUUAAAUUGCUUUGGGGAUAACUGAGUGAUUCCUCUCCCUGUGUCCCUUCCAUGCCCUGUUCCAGGGCUGGCAGUGGACAGGGGUGAUUGCUUUGAAGUGCUCUCCUGCUUUCUGGAUGAUUCACACUGGUAGGAGAGGCUUCCUGCCUUGCCAUGACUUAGGGAAAAGCUCCAUUUCAUAAUGUCUCCUUACUCUUAGCAGGGCUUGUGUCUGUUCCCAAAACUCCCACUGUUUUCACUGCAGGCAUGACCAGACUGUGAAAUAGCUUGGCUGGGCUGCUGAAUAAUCUCUGAGGCUCUUUUAAUAAACUGCAGUUUUAUUUA